rnacentral:rRNA from 1 species
UACGUACCGGACGAACGUUAUUCGGAAUCACUGGGCUUAAAGAGUGCGUAGGCGGCUCUGUAGGUGAGGUGUGAAAUCCCACGGCUCAACCGUGGAAUUGCGCUUCAAACCGCAGAGCUUGAGGAAGAUAGGGGUGAGCGGAACUGAUGGUGGAGCGGUGAAAUGCGUUGAUAUCAUCAGGAACACCUGUGGCGAAGGCGGCUCACUGGGUCUUUUCUGACGCUGAGGCACGAAAGCUAGGGGAGCGAACGGG